rnacentral:rRNA from 1 species
UACAGAGGUCCCGAGCGUUGUUCGGAUUCACUGGGCGUAAAGGGUGCGUAGGUGGUGGCGUAAGUCGGAUGUGAAAUCUCGGAGCUUAACUCCGAAACGGCAUUGGAAACUGCGUUACUUGAGGGUUGGAGGGGGGACUGGAAUGCUUGGUGUAGCAGUGAAAUGCGUAGAUAUCAAGCGGAACACCAGUGGCGAAGGCGAGUCCCUGGACAACACCUGACACUGAGGCACGAAAGCUAGGGGAGCAAACAGG